GACGAACGCUGGCGGCGUGCCUAAUACAUGCAAGUCGAACGCAGUGGGGACGGGUGAGUAACACGUGGGUAACCUCCCAUCAGAGGGGAUAACUCUUGGAAACAGGUGCUAAACCGAUAUUGGAGGAUGGACCCGCGGUGCAUUAGCUAGUUGGUGGGGUAACGGCUCACCAAGGCCACGAUGCUUAGCCGACCUGAGAGGGUGAUCGGCCACACUGGGACUGAGACACGGCCCAGACUCCUACGGUAGGCAGCAGUAGGGAAUCUUCGGCAAUGGACGAAAGUCUGACCCAGCAACGCCGCGUGAGUGAAGAAGGUUUUCGGUGCGUAAAACUCUGUUGUUGGAGAAGCGGUAUCUAACCAGAAAGCAACGGCUAACUACGUGCCAGCAGCCGCGGUAAUAC
rnacentral:rRNA from 1 species